rnacentral:misc_RNA from 1 species
GAUGAAGAACGUAGCGAAAUGCGAUAAGUAGUGUGAAUUGCAGAAUUCAGUGAAUCAUCGAAUCUUUGAACGCACAUUGCGCCCCUUGGUAUUCCAUGGGGCAUGCCUGUUCGAGCGUCAUUUGUACCUUCAAGCUUUGCUUGGUGUUGGGUGUUUGUCCCGAGGGACUCGCCUUAAAGUAAUUGGCAGCCAGUGUUUGGUUUUGAAGCGCAGCACAAGUCGUGAUUCAAGGCUACACGCCCGCUUCCACAAGCCUUUUUUCACUUUUGACCUCGGAUCAGGUAGGGAUACCCGCUGAACUUAAGCAUAUCAAUAAGCGGAGGA